GCUCAAAUUUGUAAUCUGGCUGUCUUCGAUAGUCCGAGUUGUAAUCUAUAGACGUGUUUUCCGUGCUGGAUCGUAUCUAAGUCCCUUGGAACAGGGUAUCAAAGAGGGUGACAAUCCCGUGCUUGAUACGACGACCAGUGCUCUGUGAUACCGUUCUACGAGUCGAGUUGUUUGGGAAUGCAGCUCAAAAUGGGUGGUAAAUUCCAUCUAAAGCUAAAUAUUGGCGAGAGACCGAUAGCGAACAAGUACCGUGAGGGAAAGAUGAAAAGCACUUUGGAAAGAGAGUUAAACAGUACGUGAAAUUGUUGAAAGGGAAACGAUUGAAGUCAGUCGUGUUCUUCAGAUUCAGCUGGUUCUUCCAGUCUACUUCUGUUGAACGGGUCAACAUCAGUUUUGUCCGGUGGAUAAAGGUAGUAGGAAUGUGACUCCCCCGGGAGUGUUAUAGCCUAUUAUUGCAUACACUGGGUGAGACUGAGGACUGCAGCUCGCCUUUUGGCCGGUCUUCGGACACGUUCGAGCUUAGGAUGUUGACAUAAUGGCUUUAAACGACCCGUCUUGAAACACGGACCA
rnacentral:rRNA from 1 species